rnacentral:tRNA from 2 species
GGGCUCGUGGUUCAACGGUAGAAUUCGCCCUUGGCUUGGGUGGGAUGCGGGUUCAAUUCCCGCCGAGUCCA